CCUACGGGAGGCAGCAGUGGGGAAUAUUGGACAAUGGGCGAAAGCCUGAUCCAGCCAUGCCGCGUGUGUGAAGAAGGUCUUCGGAUUGUAAAGCACUUUAAGUUGGGAGGAAGGGCAGUUACCUAAUACGUAAUUGUUUUGACGUACCGACAGAAUANGCNCAGAU
rnacentral:rRNA from 1 species